AGGCUCACCCCGAGCAAGGAUGGGCCCCACAGCCCCCAGUGUGUCGGAGGGAGGUACAACAGGAAGGUGUGCCCCCCGGGCUGACCCCCCUUUCCUCGGCAGAGCCUCGCCCCUCCCUCACCCUGCGGGACCCCAGCGCCGCCCCCCGCCGGCCGCCCCUGCACCCCGCGGCCUUCUCAGGUGGGUCCCUCCCUCCCCAGCCCCGCUGGGGGGGCACAGAGGGCCGGGUGCCCCCCACCCACCGCCCGUGCCCCCCAUUCCCCGCAGGGUGCCUGAACUGCAGCCGGGUCGGGGAGCUGACGGCGCGGCUCGCCACCCUCGAGGCGCAGGUGGCCCGGCUGGCGGUGGCCGAGCCCCCCAGGGGCAGCAGCCCGGGCAGGGGAGCCGAGGCCGGGCAGCUCUGGGGGUCCCCGGCCGCCCGCGGGAGCCCCGGCGAUGACGGUAAGGCAGGGUGACAGUGGUGACAGUGGUGACAGUGACAGUGCCACCCGGCAGCACCCGCAGCACCACACUGGGUGCUGUCAAUAUUUUGGGGACUCCUCACUUUGGGGCAAAGCAAAGCUGUCCCAGGGCAGUGGUGACACUGAGCCGGCCCCCCUGACAGGGGGGUCUUUGUCCCCAUUGUCACCACAUCCCCAUUGUCACCACAUCCCCACUGUCACCACAUCCCCAUUGUCACCACAUCCUCCUCCUCCUCCCUCAGGACCCCACCGCGGGUCCCAGCCCGCCCUGGCUCCCUGGGGGCUGUGAGGGGCCAGCCCAGCCCAGGGAGGGGCUGGGGGGCCGGGUGUGGGUGGGGGGCGCCCCGAGGGGCUGUCGCGGGGUCCCCCCCGCUCAGGGCGCCGCUGUGCCACAGGGACACCCGGCUGGAGGGGCCCCCCCGGGCCCAAGGGCGACGCGGGAGGACGGGGAGCGAAGGGGCCAGUGGGGCCACCAGGUACGGGGGACACCGUGGGGGGACCCCAGCCGGGUGCCUGGCCCAGCCGAGCCCCCCCUUUCCAGAUUUAGGGGGUCCAAGCAGCACUUUGGGGGCUCGGAAGGGCUCCAGCGCUGCACAGCCCCGAUCCUCACCCUCCUCUUCCUCCCUGCAGGUCCCCCCGGCCCCCCAGGACCGCCCGGCCGCGAUGGGGCCCGGGGGCUCCCCGGAGAGAAGGGGUCCCCCGGGCCCCCCGGCCCCCCGGGCCCCCCUGCCCCGCUGGGACCGGCGAUCCCCCGGCUGGCCGAGCCCGGUAAGGGGGGCUGGGCUGGGGUCCCCCCCAGAGUGACCCCAAAAAUGGGGCUGGGCUGGGGCAGGGCUGGGCUGGGGGGGGUCUGAGCCUCUCCGGGGCUGGGG
rnacentral:lncRNA from 14 species